rnacentral:lncRNA from 1 species
CUUAAUUUAUGGCUAGAAAUGGCAUUGAUAUGAACAUAAGGAGUGCUAUUUAUUAAUAUAUUGCUUUUCAUAAAUCAGUUCCUUUUUUGUAAUUAGGUAGAAACAGAACAGAAAGCCAUUCUUGAUUUUGGUGACUGGAGUUUGUGGAGGCUGGAAGUCUCUGCCAAUAAAAGCACUGAACCGGACACACACCACUUACCAAUCAAGUUGAUUCUCAAUGUUAGCACCGUGGCCUGGCAAGAUCGGACGUUUUCCGAGGAACCCGGCUGAGCUCCUGUGAGAGCUGCUCCCUGCACUGAUGUGGUCCCUUGGCUGGCAGGCUGCUCUGUGAUCAACCAGGUGACACCUGCCUGUUAUGAGGGACAGGUAGGAGAGGAUGGGCUUUCCAUCAAAACAAACAAACAAAAAAAAAGUCCCAAGAAGGAACUCGGCUCUUCAGAGAUUCAGGACUCGGGAGAAGACUUCGUGGUGACAGUUGACGUAGAAGUUGACAGCCCAAACCCCACACCAGUUCUUAGAAGUAUUGAUCUCCAAGAAAGAGCAGAAAGAGCUACAACUCCUGCUCCCAGGGACUUACAGGAUCUAAAAAAUGUUUGUGCAGCCAUCUGGACCUCAGUAUGAAGUGGUGUUAAAAGGUGAAGUCCAUUCUUCAGGAAGUAAACCUCUGCCACGUGGAUCAUGCUCAGACAUCCUAUUGAAGUUUGUCCAACAAUUUCUUGCUUUGGAAGGUGUCCCUCUUGGUGGAACACAGUAAGUGUCAAAGAUGGACAAAUAGUCAAUCCACUGUUUGUACAUGUAUUGGAGAAGAUCCCAAAUUAAUGUUUGGAGGACAAUUUUGUUGUAACAGACAGUGUUGAGGCUCAGUUGUACAGAACUGGAAAAGCCUUUAGAUGUGCAUGUGUCUAGAUUCAGCCUUUGUUUAACAUAUAUUCCAAUCCUGAUCCUGCCUUCGCCAGCUGCAAAGUACCUGACAUGUGACCACAGCACAGGAGCUGCUGAAGAGGGAGUAUUAUCACCUCAAACUCACAGCCACCUGGUAUUUUCAAGAGCCAGCCAAGAGAGAUACUUACAGAGAGCUGUGGAGAGAACAUGCAGUCCAUCCAGCAUCUCAUUCAGCUAAAUUUCUCAGUCUGUCACCCCGUGGUUUUAGCAGACCCCGCAGAAGUGGUUUUGAUGCUC